UACGGAGGGUGCAAGCGUUAUCCGGAUUCACUGGGUUUAAAGGGUGCGUAGGCGGGCAGGUAAGUACGUGGUGAAAUCUCUGAGCUUAACUCAGAAACUGCCAUGGAUACUAUUUGUCUUGAAUAUUGUGGAGGUAAGCGGAAUAUGUCAUGUAGCGGUGAAAUGCUUAGAUAUGACAUAGAACACCAAUUGCGAAGGCAGCUUACUACACAGUUAUUGACGCUGAGGCACGAAAGCGUGGGGAUCAAACAGG
rnacentral:rRNA from 1 species